rnacentral:rRNA from 1 species
UACGGGGGGGGCAAGCGUUGUUCGGAAUUACUGGGCGUAAAGGGCACGUAGGCGGUCCCUCAAGUCGGGUGUGAAAGCCCUCGGCUUAACCGAGGAAGUGCAUUCGAAACUAAGGGACUUGAAUACUGGAGAGGAUGGCGGAAUUCCCGGUGUAGAGGUGAAAUUCGUAGAUAUCGGGAGGAACACCAGCGGCGAAGGCGGCCAUCUGGACAGAUAUUGACGCUGAGGUGCGAAAGCGUGGGGAGCAAACAGG